rnacentral:tRNA from 1 species
CAGGUUAAAGCUUUGGGAAGCAUUUUAUUUACGUUAAAAAGAUUAUUUUAAUAGGGUAUAGUCUGA